CUUUGGUGCCCGAGUUGUAAUUUGAAGAUAGUUUUCUGGUGCUGGCCCUUGUCUAUGUUCCUUGGAACAGGACGUCACAGAGGGUGAGAAUCCCGUCUGGCGGGGUGUCCAGUGCUUUGUAGAUUUCUAUCGACGAGUCGAGUUGUUUGGGAAUGCAGCUCUAAGUGGGUGGUAAAUUCCAUCUAAAGCUAAAUAUUGGCGAGAGACCGAUAGCGAACAAGUACAGUGAUGGAAAGAUGAAAAGAACUUUGAAAAGAGAGUGAAAAAGUACGUGAAAUUGUUGAAAGGGAAGGGUAUUAGAUCAGACUUGGUGUUUUGUGAUUAUCUUCCCUUCUUGGGUUGUGCACUCGCAUUUCACUGGGCCAGCAUCGGUUCGGGUGGUAAGAUAAUGACAUUGGAACGUGGCACUACCUUCGGGUGGUGUGUUAUAGCC
rnacentral:rRNA from 1 species